GUAUAUUCCAUUAUGAUAUUUAAGAGUAUAAUUAUAAAUGAAUUUACAGAUUCAUCCACAAGAUGAUUAUGCGAAUAAUGCAAGCAUAGAUGGCAGCACAUUGAUGUGAAAACGUAGAAAAUGUGACGUGUAAACAUUGACUAAGAUAAGCAGUAAAGAAACGGAUCUUGUUUCAAAGAUCGACAAUAAAUCGCAGACAUGCUCCAAAUUUUCGUGCAAUAUGUUAUGAAUAUUUUGCAACUUUCUGUUUUGUCACCGGUUUAUAAAUGCUCAUAACGAAACAGAUUUGUAAGAAUUCUGGGAGCAAUGCUUACGCAAUACUCUUUCGAAGUGUCGAAUAAAAAAGUUACUGGAUCUGUAUA